AUUGAACGCUGGCGACAUGCCUUACACAUGCAAGUCGAACGGCAGCACGGGUGCUUGCACCUGGUGGCGAGUGGCGAACGGGUGAGUAAUACAUCGGAACAUGUCCUGUAGUGGGGGAUAGCCCGGCGAAAGCCGGAUUAAUACCGCAUACGAUCUACGUAUGAAAGCGGGGGACCUUCGGGCCUCGCGCUAUAGGGUUGGCCGAUGGCUGAUUAGCUAGUUGGUGGGGUAAAGGCCUACCAAGGCGACGAUCAGUAGCUGGUCUGAGAGGACGACCAGUCACACUGGGACUGAGACACGGCCCAGACUCCUACGGGAGGCAGCAGUGGGGAAUUUUGGACAAUGGGCGAAAGCCUGAUCCAGCAAUGCCGCGUGUGUGAAGAAGGCCUUCGGGUUGUAAAGCACUUUUGUCCGGAAAGAAAUCCUUGGCCCUAAUACGGUCGGGGGAUGACGGUACCGGAAGAAUAAGCACCGGCUAACUACGUG
rnacentral:rRNA from 1 species